AGAGGCAGAGCUGCAGGAGAUGAAUGGACCAGUGAAGGAGAAAUAUACAGAGUUGGAAAACUAAAGCAACCUGGAACAUUAAAGGAAAUUUGAUUCAAAAAGUUAGGUGACACAGUUGACAGCUGAAUUUGUGAAAGAAACCCAGGAAACUAAUUUCUCCAGUUGCAACAGUAACACAAAGUGGACAGUGAAAAAGUUUACCAGGAUCUUGAUCAACUGGGCCAAUGGACCGAGAGAUGGCAGGGUGAGGACUAGAUGAAGAAGGAUGCAGUCAGGAGUUCAAAUGUGCAGAGACCAGCUGGUCAGCUAUCCCAUGAUGUCUACACAAAGGGAAAUGGUGGAUUACACUCAGCCUGUGGCUAACUGGAUACUUCAAAUUUUGACAAGUCCUGCAUAUGAAAUUUUAAGAGAACCAAUCAUUCAAAUCACAAAUAUGGACAAACAAUGGAACCAAAGUGAUAGCUGGAGGAACUGUUGGCUUGCGAUUCUACAAUCGGAAUCAUUACGCGGCUUUACUUUACUAAAUUACAGUUAAUUAACAGACAAGGUAGUUUGAAGGAAAUCAGUCCCCAAAUGAGAUAAAUUCCUUUAAAGCUUGC